rnacentral:rRNA from 1 species
UGCUUUAUGAAAAUUAAUAUAAAGUAUUCUCCUGCCCAAUGUUUAAAUUAAUGGCCGCGGUAUCCUAACCGUGCAAAGGUAGCAUAAUAAUUUGCCCAUUAAUUGUGGGCUAGAAUGAAAGGAGGAACGAAAUAAGAUCUUUCUCAAUAGUUCACAUAUAAACUAUUCUAAAAGUGAAGAAACUUUUAUAAAAUUAAAGGACAAGAAGACCCUAUAGAGCUUUAUCUUUACUAAUAAAUUAUUACUAUAGAUUCGGUUGGGGCGACCCAGGAUAUAUCAUCCUCUAAUUAUAAGAUUUAUAAAUCAUUUUCAAGAUCCAAUUAUGAUCACAAAAUCAAGCUACCUUAGGGAUAACAGGCUAAUCCCAUUAUAGAGCUCAUAUCGACAGUGGGGAUUGGCACCUCGAUGUUGGCUUAAAUAUCCUUUUUGGCGCAGAUGUCACUAAAGGGGGUUUGUUCAACCCAUUAAUAUU